AAACUUCACAUAUAUUCUUUAGUUUCUGGAGCUAUGGAUCAAAUGGACUGAAAUCUUAAAGAGGAUGAAGCACGUUUCCUCACAGUGUUGAUCUCAGUCGUAUGAUUAUGUUUUUACAUAUAACUUGAGAAAAAGAAAUUGAUGUGGUUUUUUGCCAUAAUAUGUUAUAAACAGACUUAAAGUUUCACUUUACUGGAAGUUUCUUAUAGUUGCUUUAGUACUUUCCAUUUCUUCGUGGUGUUGUCCAUGGUUUUGAUACUGUUUUGGAGGGCAUCUGAAGGUGCAGCAUAAUUUAUGCUAUCAACGUCUUUGUCAUGAUCUGUUCGGAGAGUAGCAUAGAAAUGUAGAACCUUGCACGCAAACAGGGAGAGAGUCCACCUCCUCUUCCCACCCAUCCCAAAAAAGGACAGCCUCAUUGAAUCGGGUGCACACUCCUUCCUUUGCCUUCUCUCUCUCUUCCUUGCUCUUAAUUUCAAUCCUUGCUCUCUUCUAAUUACCACUUUCUUUCCUGCUCUUCUAAUUACCGGACCAAUUUCUCCCCUUCGCUUGCUUACACCUUGCAGCACAACUCAGGAAUCAAGUUAAUUCUUGAAAAAUUGAAACUUGCGGAAGAAAGGCAAAUGGAAGGAAGGGACUCACUUUGGUAUCUCUGAACAGCUAUUCCACUUUGGAUUGGGCAAGGAUGAAUGGACAGUUGAUAAAAGCCAUUUCUCCACGAGUUAUGGAAACAUAUUGAUAUGCAGCAUUACGGUAUCUAGGUACUCCUAAGAACGCUUUUCAUGUCCCAUAUGCAGUUUUGUGCUCUUGAUCUCAUUUUAUUAUGGCCCAACCUGCAAUUCUAUUUUGUUUUAAAAUUGAGUCAACAUAGUCCAGUUAUAGUGUAAAUGAGAGCCAUUUUGGGGCUGUUUUAUUACCAUUUCAAUGAGAUAGUGGAGUUAGUCUUGAGUUGGUAGGAGCUAUUGGAUAUCCUUGCCUUUCAAUGUUGGACAUUGAUUUUGUUUGUUAAGUCCGUUAAAACUUAAAACAGAGCAUCAAGCUCUCCUGCUUAUAGCAAUUCCUUACUUAUUUUAGUGCCUCUGUUUUCCAUCUUCUACAGCCUUCUAUCUUGUUUCUUUGAGGAGACUACCGAUGUAUUUCUUUCCAAGAAAACAUGCAACUCUAAACUCUCUUUCCUGCAGCAAAAGAAAAAGACAACUUAGAUAUCUAGAGAAAAGAUUAUUAUUGGGAAUUGAGAAGUUUACCACCCUCUGCUGCAAUCUCCUCUCUGAGAUAUCGGUGAAUAUCUACAUUCCUCUCUCAUCCCUCUUGAAUAUGCUGGAAUAUAGCAAACCAUUUAGGUU